AUACGUAGGGGGCGAGCGUUGUCCGGAAUGAUUGGGCGUAAAGGGCGCGUAGGCGGCCUGUUAAGUCUGGAGUGAAAGUCCUGUUUUCAAGAUGGGAAUUGCUUUGGAUACUGAUGGGCUUGAGUGCAGGAGAGGUUAUCGGAAUUCCCGGUGUAGCGGUGAAAUGCGUAGAGAUCGGGAGGAACACCAGUGGCGAAGGCGGGUAACUGGACUGCAACUGGCGCUGAGGCGCGAAAGUGUGGGGAGCAAACAGGAUUAGAUACCCUGGUAGUCCACACUGUAAACGAUGAAUGCUAGGUGUAAGAGGUAUCGACCCCUUUUGUGCCGGAGUUAACACAAUAAGCAUUCCGCCUGGGGAGUACGGCCGCAAGGUUGAAACUCAAAUGAAUUGACGGGG
rnacentral:rRNA from 1 species